rnacentral:rRNA from 1 species
UGGGGAAUUUUGGACAAUGGGCGAAAGCCUGAUGCAGCGACGCCGCGUGAGGGAUGACGGCCUUCGGGUUGUAAACCUCUUUCAAUAGGGACGAAGCGCAAGUGACGGUACCUAUAGAAGAAGGACCGGCCAACUACGUGCCAGCAGCCGCGGUAAUACGUAGGGUCCGAGCGUUGUCCGGAAUUACUGGGCGUAAAGAGCUCGUAGGUGGUUUGUCGCGUUGUUCGUGAAAACUCACAGCUUAACUGUGGGCGUGCGGGCGAUACGGGCAGACUAGAGUACUGCAGGGGAGACUGGAAUUCCUGGUGUAGCGGUGGAAUGCGCAGAUAUCAGGAGGAACACCGGUGGCGAAGGCGGGUCUCUGGGCAGUAACUGACGCUGAGGAGCGAAAGCGUGGGGAGCGAACAGGAUUAGAUACCCUGGUAGUCCACGCCGUAAACGGUGGGUACUAGGUGUGGGUUUCCUUCCUUGGGAUCCGUGCCGUAGCUAACGCAUUAAGUACCCCGCCUGGGGAGUACGGCCGCAAGGCUAAAACUCAAAGGAAUUGAC